rnacentral:rRNA from 1 species
UACGUAGGGUGCGAGCGUUAAUCGGAAUUACUGGGCGUAAAGCGUGCGCAGGCGGUUAUGUAAGACAGAUGUGAAAUCCCCGGGCUCAACCUGGGAACUGCAUUUGUGACUGCAUGGCUAGAGUACGGUAGAGGGGGAUGGAAUUCCGCGUGUAGCAGUGAAAUGCGUAGAUAUGCGGAGGAACACCGAUGGCGAAGGCAGUCCUCUGGGCCUGCACUGACGCUCAUGCACGAAAGCGUGGGGAGCAAACAGG